AUUGAACGCUGGCGGCAGGCCUAACACAUGCAAGUCGAGCGGAUGAAGGGAGCUUGCUCCUGGAUUCAGCGGCGGACGGGUGAGUAAUGCCUAGGAAUCUGCCUGGUAGUGGGGGAUAACGUCCGGAAACGGGCGCUAAUACCGCAUACGUCCUGAGGGAGAAAGUGGGGGAUCUUCGGACCUCACGCUAUCAGAUGAGCCUAGGUCGGAUUAGCUAGUUGGUGGGGUAAAGGCCUACCAAGGCGACGAUCCGUAACUGGUCUGAGAGGAUGAUCAGUCACAGAGGAAAGGAGAAAGGGGACAGAACCCGAGGGGAGGCAGAGGGGGGGAAAGUUGGAAAAGGGGGGGAAGACUGAACAAGCCAGGCGGGGUGGGGGAAGAAGGGCUUCGGAUGGGAAAAACAUUUAAGGGGGGGAAAAGGGAAGUAAGUUAAAACCAUGGUGUUUGAACGUAACAAACAAAAAAAACACCGGCAAACUUGGU
rnacentral:rRNA from 1 species